GGGGACUGUCCUCAGCUGCUCCCUCAAGGAAUCCCCUUUCCCUCACUUUGAUCUCGAUGACUCUGAAAAGACAAUUGGCAGCUGACAAGUGGAAUGAUCAUUCACUGCAGGGGCCCAGUCAAUAGAGCAGGAUGAUGAAACUGUUGAUUCAUCAGCUGAAAUCAUCAUUUGGAUCACAGCAAGCACUGGAUAAUCCAGGUAGGAUGGGUGGUAAUCCUCAGUGUGUGACAGACACCUCACUGGGUCAAGGAUAAGAUCCAGGGGGCAUUUUACCCUCCUGUCUCCUCCUGCCUCUUUCCCUGCCCAUCUCUGAAUUCCUGGGACGUGGCUGUGCAUCAAGGCAAGUUAUUCCCCAUUUUGGGGAGUGAACUUCCUUGUUGCUCCUUGCUUGGAAGAGCACUUGCCUUAACAGACCUCGUUCCCCAACUGCUGAAAUGAGCAUUAUCAGGUUAAGCCUUUGGAGCAGCCCCAGAGCAUCAGCACCAGGGAAAUAACCUUGCUUUUGUAAUGGCAUCAUUUUAUGUGCAGACAAGAAUUAAGCCACGAGUGUUUUACAGAGCUCCUCAAAUCUGAUUAAGCUGAACACUGCAGUGUGAAUUUUGCUGGUGAGUGAACUCAAACCAAAUCUGCACAAACACCCACUGUCUCUCUUCACUCUCCACCUACUCUGACUCCAAUUGUUUUCUGCUUCUGUCCCGGAGCCAGCAGAUCAUCUCCAAGGACAUAUACAUUAUAAAGCUCCUGUUCCCAACAGAAUGACUGGUUACUGGAAAUUAGGAGUCCUGUUUACCCAGGAAUCCUGCCCAGGCAUGAAGCAGCAGGGGCAGAGCAGCCUGUGCCUCUCACCGUCUCCACAAAACAGCACGUGAAGCUGGUGAUCCUCCUGCAGUGCCAUCGUGCCAGGCCAGAUCACAAACCUCACUAAAGACUCAAACAGGAUUAAUUUUUUUUCUAAGAUUAAAAAGAGCAAGAAGCAGAAAUGGUUUUAAAUCAGCCCCAGACACCAGGUCAAGCAGCAGUUGUGGGGUUAGAUCCAUGUCAGAGAGCUGGAGCCACCUGGAGUGCCAGCUCCCAGCACUGGUGUCAUUCCCUCCCUGCUGCUUCCCUCAGUCAUAGAGAAACAGUCUUUCAGUUGUAUCUCUCCUACAGGUAACUUUGCAUCCCACUCCUCCCAAACACCAGCAGCUUCCUGGGUAGCUGCUGUUACAGGUGUGAAGUUAAAAUAAUAUUCCUGCUCCAAUCUUCCCUCUCCAGUGGGGCCCACAGGGACAAAGUGACUUGUGGGAUGUUCACUGCCCCAAUGUACCAGUGCAGUAUCCAGCUGUGCAAGGCUAUUCUGUAACUACACUGUUCCUUCUCCUUUGAAUUGUUAUAAACUUUUCCUCUUUAGUUGAUGUGUUAAUUGAGAAAACACAGGAGUCCCCUGUUAGCUAAUCUGUAAUACUCUAAGGUGGAAUAUAUAUUUCUGUAUAUAUGUUCUAAUGACAUAUUUCCCAGUUGAAACACUAAAUUUGACCAUUUUGACUAUCUGCUUGCACAGUGUUUAAUUUAUCACACGUCAUCAUGUUAACUUAGGCUAUUUUUUUACACAUUGUAUGUUUAACAUACAAUGCAAUCCUGAACCUCCCAUUCUCAUUGUUGGAUGAGAGGUUCUGGAUUCCGGGGAAUGCCAUGAAAUACCUGAAUGUUUUUAAUUUGGAUUUAGACAUCUGAGCAAGGCUCUGAUGUGGGUCAAUGGCCUCAGCCCGAGCCAGUACAAUUUUCUGGAAUUUUUUCUUUCUUUGUUUCUGCUUCGUUCUGUUCCUUUUUUGUUGUUCUUCCAGCUUUCUCUUUUCCUCAAGUGAAUUCCUGGUGGGGAAAAUAAACUAAGGCUGAAUUCAUAUUAAAUCAAGAGCACCACUUCAAAGGAAGCUUUGGCAAAGAUGAUUCCAAGGAGGAAAACGGGGUUGCCAUGAGAGGACACAAAGUAUGUGCCAUUUUAAGGGAUUCAGGAUAUCCUGGGAAACAGCAAUCAUUCAUCCCUUUCCUAGGGACAUUCUGAGAAAAAUAUACUAUUGUUUCUUCAACAAUCAUAAAUUUAAAGUGUUUUGGUUUAUAUUAUUUUAAGUUUUAUAUUAUAAUUAAGCCCUUACAUUAACAAAUUCAGUCCUGUAUUCACUGCACAGAAGAAUUAGCUACAUGUGUAGAAAUAAAAAAAAAAAUAAAAAAAUCUACUUUUAAAGUACAUAUAAAGUAGAGCAUCUCUAAGUAGUCACCUUAAGGCUUGUAGCCUUCGUCUGGUGGACUCUGUGUUUUUGGGAGACUUGGAUUUUCCAGCUCCCAAGAGCUGGGAAUUUGCACUUGAAUGCCUCCUUUGGGG